UAUGUACACAGAGAGGAAGAAAGGCAGACAGAGGACACAUCAGUAUCUCCCUCUGAAAGAGGCACCCUGCUAACCAGCUUCUCACGUGACUACAGGAGGAUGGCCCUUCUUAAGUUCCUGAGCUAGCCUCUCCUCACCCUCUCUGGUCAACCAAAGAGAACUGAAGUCUGAAAUCGAACAGGAUCAUGGUGACCAUUACCAGCACCGGUCAGGGUCAAACAUGACCAACUUCAGUGACUUCAGAGACCCUUGAAGCUGCAUUUUAGACGUGGUGCCCAGAGCCAAUCUUUGUUGGCCCAGCAGUUUUCAGCUCAGCACUGAGAAGACAAUGGGAAAUGUUUUCAUCGCUUCUAUCAGGUGCCUGAGAAAGCCUUUGUGCUCCAGAGCUCUGCAGACUGAGGAGUUAGAGCAAGAACAGACUUCUCAGGCAGAUUAUUUGUGUUAUCUAAACAGGGCGUUUCACUGGUGCAGGAGGAAACCUCCCACAGAAAUCAAAUGCCCACAAGUGUCCGUGUGACAGCCUGAGCAACCGAGAUUUGAAUUCAUAGAUUGUCAUUUGUCAUCUGUGUGACCUUGGGUCACCCACUUAGCCAAUUCUCUUGUCCUCAGUUUCCCUCUUGUGGGGUGUGGA